rnacentral:lncRNA from 1 species
UGUGGGCCUUUCUUCCUUAUUUCCUGAUAACCCCCUGCAGAAAUAGACAAACACCAAAACUCGUGGAAUUCUAUCAGAUAAAACCCUAAGUCUAGAUGUUGAUUUCAUUUGGAUCCUUUUCUUUGUUUAUUUGAUAGUUAAAUUUGAUACUUAAGGACCGUCAACAAACUCCCCCAAGCUUACCUCUUGCUCGUCCCUGAGCAAGGAUAGACUCAGCUAUGGAUCAUAAGUUGUUGCAAUAUCUUUAAAAAUUUGACGGUACACAUGCUUUUAAAUGAGGUCUCAUCUCUGAGUUAGAGUAAACUGUCAAGACUUAAAACUUACUUACUUUACCUUCACCAUGGGACUUGUAACUGUCACUUCUGUCUUGAGUGGUUAAAAGAUAGAACAGUCCAGUCAAGUGCCAUGUCGCUUAUUCUUGAUCAGCUAUAGCUCUGGAGUUUUUGCAGAUUUUCAAAUAAAACUCAGAGAUUCCUUUGUAUGACUCUCUCAUAUCUCUCUUUUGUGGUAUUUCUAGAUCCUUACCAAGGCAGUGAUGGUAUAUGCCUUCUCUCAAGAUAUGUGGUAUUUGUGGUAUAAGGCAUAGUGACAUUGCCUUCUCUCUCACCCUACUCUAAUAAGGCUUUAAUAUCUGGAGCUUAUAGGUGGGAGAUAAAGUAUACAUACUUACAAGACAUUUAUUGUAUAGUCAAACCAUGGAUCCAAAGAAACAAAUCAAUAAGCCAAAUCAAGAUGUGCAUGUGUGGCGAAUGAAUGGUGUAUAGUGAUGAUGGUGAUAACAAUGGUGAAAGUCUAAUUCUACUUUUGCUCUUAUGAGGGGAUACAUACCUUCCUUACUUUUUGAAACUUUAUGAGGAGAAUGAGAUGCUCUUCUUUUUCUUUCCUCUCAGGUGGAUAUCUUGUACCCCUAAUUCUACUGUCGGACACUUGUCCAUUUUUACCUCUCGUCUCACUUUUUUUCUUUUCUUUCGAGGUUCCGGGCACUUGCCCCUUUUUAUUUCUUAGUUUAUUAUUUUUUUUCUUUUCUUCUCUUUUCUUUUUUUUAGAGCACUCAUCUCCUGAAAUAAUGUAGCAAGUGGUAGUAACCAAAAUAACUGGAGCAUUUAUUUCACAGGGAAUAACAGGGAUAGGAAAAUGUUUUUGGCUAUUCUCUCCCGGAUUAGGAGUAGAAUGAUUUUGGGUGAAACUGGAGAUGGAAAUGGAUGGAUAUAUGUGGAUGGUACUUCCGGAGUAGAAGUAGCAUAUAUGAGUGAACGUGCAAGUGAAUCUUGAUUUAACCACAUGAGAAGCUCCUAAGGGUCUACACAGCUUGACCACACUCAAUGCUCAUAAGCAGUAAAUAAUAAAUGUGUGGCUUAAAGUCUAGCAAGCAUGUAUAUAUGGCUAUGGUAGGAAUUUAAACAUUCAUCAUACAGGAACUCAUCAUGCAAUAUUUUAAAGAUUUUUCAAAGAUAAAAUUCUCCAGAAUUCUAGCAUCUCUAUGAAUAGAUAAACAACAGCUCAACCUUCCCAUAUCAUAUCCGUUAACAACUUAGAUUUCAGAUCAAGUUUUCAUCCCACAAGUUUAGAUCUAGAGCAAGCUUUAAAUUAUAACAGUUAUGUCUAAACUUGAGAGAGAACUUUAAAUUUGCAAAUUAGGCAGAGCAACUAUUCAUCAUAUCCAUGCUAGAGUUUUAUUAUUAAGAUUCAUAGCAAACUUUAUUUAUUUAUUAAACACACUAAGCAAAAGAUAUAUAUAUAAGCACAAAUUUUUUAUUUGGUUUUUCAUAGUUUAUGUAUUUUAAUAUUCUAACAUAAUAUAAGUAUAAAGAUAGGUAGAAAUACUUAGCGAGAUAAAUGGGGGUGCUCUCCCCCAAGCUGAAUUUUGACGUAAUUUCUCUUGAUGUAGCUAGCAGGUGGCAGAGGUGUAUUUGAAAGUCACCAGCAUUCUGACAGCGAUUAGAAUGUCCUCCGUCUGCUAGUCUUCUUGAUUCUUAAAUUCUGUGGAGCUCAAAUAGACAACAAAGCUUGUGGAACUAAUUAAGUGUUAGCAUAAAUAUGUAGCCUUCAUCACGUUGAGCUUCCUCAAUAAAUAUUACUCCCUGUUUUUAUAUUUUUAUUUUAUAAAGUAGAAAAGAAAUAUUUAUUUUAUUUUUAUGCCACCAAAGUGAAGGUACUUAUGGGUUUUAUGCCACUCGUAUACUCACAUGGGGCUUAGUAUUUUUUAACAUUUUUAUUUUCUUUUCAAGAUAGCAUGAUUAGCUAAUAAUCUAUUUAAGAAAGUAAAUAAUUAAAUGGAAAAGGGAAUGCAGAAAGGAUAAAUAUGGAUAACUGCCAAUCUUACCUUUCGGCGAGGGUUCAAUGUUUUAAGUCUUCUUGACAAGACUUCUCACCGAGUUCAUUCUUCUGGUGCGUCAUUUGAUUUAGGUGCGGACCUUGACGUCUGCACCUUUUAAUACGGUGUCACCCAUGUUCUUCGUUUGCCCAGCAGUUCGAAGUGCGGUGUUAGCAGUAUCUUGCUCAGUGUGUUUGUGCUCGUAGUGUACCUGCUCAUAGAGACAAGGCAGAGAUCAAGUGCAUGGGCCCUGUUGGUGGAAAACACCAAUAGAACCAAAAGUGUAUUUGUUCUUCUCUAACCAUAAGCAUAGUGAGCAAGACAAGUUGAUGGAUGAUAAGUUCAUGAGUGUAGCACUUAUAACAUUUGUCAGAUCAGAUCGCUCAACCUUAUGGAAAGAUAAUCUAUAUAUGUAUAUGUUUUUUUUUCUUUAUAUCUCUUAAUGAUUGAAUGUGUAACAUUUUAGCUCAUAUAAUUAGGAGUGUGGGAUCAUGGAGGUAGUACUAAGAACAAGGAUUAAAGGACUAAACAUGUUUGAAUCAGUUGGGUUGGUUAAUCUAGAGUUGUAAAUCAUACACGUUUGUCUCUUUUAUUUAUAUGAACGCCAGAACCAAGGAGAAGCUUAUAAAAGUGAUAGUCAAGUACCUUAAGAUGUUACCUUGCUCGAAGAGUGAUGGUACAAUAUCAUCUUGUGGAAGCUUUCCUUAGCGGUUGUGCGUGGUGUUUGUGGCACCCUCCAUGGAUCAUCUCUCUAUGAUGAAUGAGCUAUGUCCUUCUUGUGCAAAUUGUUAAACUUCAUGUGUCACUCUCUUCAUCUCUGAUGUGAGUUUAUCUCAGGACUUCCCAAAUCGAUAUUGAAAGUUUUUCUGCAGGGGUUAGUCCGACAAAAUACACCAAUAUCUACUCAAGCAGUUUUUUAGUUCAAUAACCAAACUAGACUCCAUGUCUAAUCAGAUUAAGGAAGGCUAUUUAACCUAAGCACCAUGCUUAAUUUAAAUGCCAAUGGAAGUAUGGUGAGUACUUCCAAACCAACACUUGCUAGUAAAUAGACAAAGGUAGCAUGACAGCGUUUAUAGAGAUCUACUCAAGUGGAGAUGAAGUAGUGUGAUUAGUAUUUAACAAAUUGAGCAUGUCUCAAAGGUAGGGACAACCAGCAUAGCAACAUGGCAAAGGAUGUUUUUAUGUAAAGUACUCCCCCAAGCUUGAAUUUUGCAAAAUUCAAGUUUGCAUGAAUUUAAUUCAAUGUUGUAUGAUGAUUGGUUGGACAUACCUUGUGCUUGUCAUUCAUCCGAUCUUCUUGCUCCAAUCUUAGAAAGGUUAGUGACAAGAAUACCCGAAGAAUUUUUUUUUUACAAUUAUCCUUAUAUGCUUAAUACACAAGGUAAUAUUGCAAAUAAUUAAAAGCUCAUGUUACGAUCUGAUCAGUGCUUAUUUUAGGACACUAAGCUUGUCCUUGGGAACCCAUCAAUUUAUGUCGGCGAAGUGGUUUCCCUUCCAACGCUGACCUAUAUCAAGACCAACUCAACGAGAUCUGCAAUAUUUAUUAUAGACAUAUGCAUCGACAACCGCCCUUUUAAAGUUUUUAUAAAUAGAAAGGAAGAGGGGGUUGGAGAUCUCAAGUGUGGUGAUGUCGGAGAGACCAAU